AGGAGGAACAACCCCAGUGGCGGUAGCCAGCUCUAGAGCCCUGGAUUCAGCUCCGGCAGUAACUCCGGAGCUCUCCGUCUGCAGGGCCUGGAGGCUCCGGGGCGGG
rnacentral:pre_miRNA from 1 species